rnacentral:rRNA from 1 species
CACGUAGGUCGCAAGCGUUGUCCGGAUUUAUUGGGCGUAAAGAGCUCGUAGGCGGCUUGUCGCGUCGUCCGUGAAAACUUGGGGCUCAACCCCAAGCUUGCGGUCGAUACGGGCAGGCUCGAGUUCGGUAGGGGAGACUGGAAUUCCUGGUGUAGCGGUGAAAUGCGCAGAUAUCAGGAGGAACACCGGUGGCGAAGGCGGGUCUCUGGGCCGAUACUGACGCUGAGGAGCGAAAGCGUGGGGAGCGAACAGG